rnacentral:rRNA from 1 species
CACGUAGGCACCAAGCGUUGUCCGGAUUUAUUGGGCGUAAAGCGUGCACAGGCGGCGCGUUAAGACAGGUGUGAAAGCCCCGAGCUUAACUUGGGAAUUGCGCUUGUGACUGGCGUGCUGGAGUGUGGCAGAGGGAGGUGGAAUUCCACGUGUAGCAGUGAAAUGCGUAGAGAUGUGGAGGAACACCGAUGGCGAAGGCAGCCUCCUGGGCCAGCACUGACGCUCAUGCACGAAAGCGUGGGGAGCAAACAGG